GGUGUCUAUGCCUUUCUCUAUCUCUCUCUCUCUGUAUAUACCUAAACGAGGGUAUACCAAAAACAUGAAUAUGUAGUUUUUCCUGGAAUCGGAACCAAUGAAAAACAGGAUCGAUCCAAUCGCAUUGAAGCCAUAGAGGUAUCCACCAGAGAGUAGAGUGAAUUCCAAUGAAUCCGUUACUAGAACAAGUGCGGAUUUUGUGAAGAUCCCGGUAAAUCGGGUACGUACAGGAAACUGAAUUCUGAAGAGUGCCACAGCUGCAUUAAGGAAAACUCGACUUCUAAGAAGUAUUUGCUUGAGGUGAUCUUCGUUUGCUGGAGCUGACCCUAGUAUUUCAGAUUUGGGCCUCUCCUGCUGUAAAGGUUUAGCAACAUCUAUAAUGCUGCUCUCCUGUAAGGCUGUAAGAUAAAAGAAUAUUGUUAGUUUUGUUGUUCUUGUUCUUCUGCUACAAUUUAUAGUUAUACUGAACAGGAAUGCUGCAAUGGAACCUGGAUGCUGAAAUCA